rnacentral:rRNA from 1 species
GAUGAACGCUAGCUACAGGCUUAACACAUGCAAGUCGAGGGGCAGCAUGAACUUAGCUUGCUAAGUUCGAUGGCGACCGGCGCACGGGUGAGUAACACGUAUCCAACCUGCCUUCAACUCAGGGAUAGCCUUUCGAAAGAAAGAUUAAUACUUGAUGGCAUAACCUGGUCUCCUGACUUGGUUAUUAAAGAAUUUCGGUUGAAGAUGGGGAUGCGUUCCAUUAGGCAGUUGGUGGGGUAACGGCCCACCAAACCUACGAUGGAUAGGGGUUCUGAGAGGAAGGUCCCCCACAUUGGAACUGAGACACGGUCCAA